rnacentral:rRNA from 1 species
GAAAGAUGGCUUUGGCUAUCACUCUGGGAUGGACCUGCGGUGCAUUAGCUAGUUGGUAAGGUAACGGCUUACCAAGGCGAUGAUGCAUAGCCGAGUUGAGAGACUGAUCGGCCACAAUGGAACUGAGACACGGUCCAUACUCCUACGGGAGGCAGCAGUAGGGAAUCUUCCACAAUGGGCGCAAGCCUGAUGGAGCAACACCGCGUGAGUGAAGAAGGGUUUCGGCUCGUAAAGCUCUGUUGUUGGAGAAGAACGUGCGUGAGAGUAACUGUUCACGCAGUGACGGUAUCCAACCAGAAAGUCACGGCUAACUACGUGCCAGCAGCCGCGGUAAUACGUAGGUGGCAAGCGUUAUCCGGAUUUAUUGGGCGUAAAGCGAGCGCAGGCGGUUGCUUAGGUCUGAUGUGAAAGCCUUCGGCUUAACCGAAGAAGUGCAUCGGAAACCGGGCGACUUGAGUGCAGAAGAGGACAGUGGAACUCCAUGUGUAGCGGUGGAAUGCGUAGAUAUAUGGAAGAACACCAGUGGCGGAGGCGGCUGUCUGGUCUGCAACUGACGCUGAGGCUCGAAAGCAUGGGUAGCGAACAGGAUUAGAUACCCUGGUAGUCCAUGCCGUAAACGAUGAGUGCUAGGUGUUGGAGGGUUUCCGCCCUUCA